rnacentral:tRNA from 1 species
AGACUAUUAGUAUAAUUUAAGACACCUGACUUCGACUCAGACCCUCAUGGUUAAAAUCCAUGAUAGUCUU